AUUGAACGCUGGCGGCAGGCCUAACACAUGCAAGUCGAACGAGUGGCGGACGGGUGAGUAAUGUCUGGGAAACUGCCUGAUGGAGGGGGAUAACUACUGGAAACGGUAGCUAAUACCGCAUACCAUCGGAUGUGCCCAGAUGGGAUUAGCUAGUAGGUGGGGUAACGGCUCACCUAGGCGACGAUCCCUAGCGGGUCUGAGAGGAUGACCGGCCUCACUGUAACGGUGACCGUGUCCAGGCGCCUACGGGAGGCAGCAGGGGGGAAGUGUGCACAUGGGGCGCAAGCCUGAUGCAGCCAUGCCGCGUGUAUGAAGAAGGCCUUCGGGUUGUAAAGUACUUUCAGCGGGUAGGCGUUACCCGCAGAAGAAGCACCGGCUAACUCCGUGCCAGCAGCCGCGGUAAUUC
rnacentral:rRNA from 1 species